GCUAUGCUUCCAUUCUAGUUUCUCUUCUGGGCUGAACUUUCGACUGUUUGCAGGUGUCGACAUCUUUUUCAAAUAAAAUCACAGGCUCCCUUGCAUAAGCGCGCUUUCAGGUCCUGAAGCCGAAUUAUACGAGAAGCAUGCGUGCGCUGGCCCUUCUGGGCCAACUCCGGUUCUCUCGUGCAACUGAUCGAACAUUUUCUAUCACCUGUCUACCUCUCUACCAAAUUCCUUGUAGUUUCAGUUUUCUCUGUACCCUCACAAGCGAUUGUCCCGCCGAGAAGAAGAUAUUAGAACCAGAAGAAGAACAAGAAGCACCCAAGUGCUUAUCUUUGAGAAUUGAGAAGCUUUCCAGAGGAGAAUCGGUUGGUUUAGCCUUUCAAAGUUGGAUGCGCGAAGGCUUUCCCAUUCACCGAGGUGACAUUUUUCACUCCAUUAACCGCUUGAGGAAGCUCAAAUUGAACAAACGCGCGCUUCAGGUGAUGGAAUGGGUGAUCAGGGAGAGACCAUAUAGGCCAAAAGAACUUGACUACUCUUACCUUUUGGAAUUCACAACCAAACUUCAUGGGAUAUCUCAAGGAGAAAAGCUCUUCACCCGUAUCCCUCCCGAGUUCCAGAAUGAAUUGCUAUAUAACAACCUUGUAAUUGCAUGUUUGGAAAAGGGUGUCAUAAGGCUUUCGCUUGACUACAUGAAGAAAAUGAGGGAAUUGGGUCACCCCAUAUCACAUUUGGUUUUCAACCGCCUUAUAAUCCUCCAUUCCUCUCCUGGUCGCAGAAAAAUGAUCCCAAAAUUCCUUAAUCUAAUGAAGGCCUAUAAGGUGGCUCCUCAUGUCUCCACAUACAACAUUCUGAUGAAAAUUGAAGCUAAUGAACACAAUAUUGAAGGACUAGUGAAGGUAUUUGGUGAAAUGAAGCUAUCAAAAGUGGAGCCAAAUGAGAUAUCUUUCUGCAUAUUAGCUACUGCACAUGCAGUUGCGAGAUUGUAUACAGUGGCUGAGGCAUAUGUUGAAGCUGUGGAGAUAUCUCGUACAGGAGAUAACUGGUCAACGCUAGAUAUUUUAAUCAUAUUGUACGGGUAUUUGGGGAAGGAGAAGAAAUUAGAGAGAACGUGGGCCAUUGUGCAAGAACUCUCCCAUGUUAGGUCUAAAAGUUACAUGCUUGCAGUUGAAGCAUUUGGUAGAAUUGGGCAGCUCAAUCGAGCUGAAGAGCUUUGGUUAGAGAUGAAGUCAUUAAAAGGGUUGAAAUCAACAGAAGCGUUCAAUUCCAUGCUAUCUGUGUAUUGCAAAUAUGGGCAGAUAAAAAGGGCAACUGGAAUUUUCAGGGAGAUGGAGAUAAAUGGAUGCAAGCCAAAUGCCAUUACUUUUCGACAUCUUGCUUUGGGUUGCUUGAAGGCUGAACUAGUGGAAGAAGCCUUGAAGACUCUAGAAAUGGGGAUGCACUUGAAAACAAGCAACAAGGUAAGGAAUUCAAUCCCAUGGUUGGAAACUACGCUUUCAAUUAUUGAAAUUUUUGCAGAGAAGGGUGAUAUAGUUAAUGCUGAGAAGUUCUUUGAAGAAAUAAAGAAAGCAAAUUAUACAAGGCAUACUUUUGUGUACAACACAUUAAUAAAAACUUAUGUGAAGGCCAAAAUUUAUGUUCCUAAUCUUUUGAGGAGGAUGAUUUUAGGAGGUGCUAGACCAGAUGCUGAGACCUAUAGCCUGAUUAAACUUGUUGAGCAGUUCAAAACUUGAUCGUGUACAAGAGUUUAUAUGUUGUACAAAUUUCAUUCAUUUUCCUCGAGGGAAAUUGGUUUUUUUGUGUCGUUGCCAGUAAAUUAGUUUAAGCAAGUUUUUGGAAAAGUCACAAGAAACUCGAUAUCUAAUCCCACUUGUUCCUGAUAAAGUGUUUAUGAGAGAAUGAAGGCUUCGCACCCAGCAUCAUGUGCGGGGAAGCCUGUAGCAGAGCAUAAAACUGCGCAAAUCUUUGAACUCAUCCAGUUUCAAUAUUCCAGUGCACCAAACAUUUUAUUCUUAGAUGUUUCUUAAAUGAUCAUUCCUAGUCUGGGAUUUGGGCCUGAGUGAGAAACAAGCAUUCAUUG
rnacentral:misc_RNA from 1 species